rnacentral:rRNA from 1 species
CAAGGGAUAUUGCGCAAUGGACGAAAGUCUGACGCAGCGACGCCGCGUGAGGGAUGACGGCCUAUGGGUUGUAAACCUCUUUUUUCAGGGAGGAAUCAAAUGACGUGUACCUGAGGAAUAAGCAUCGGCUAACUCCGUG